rnacentral:misc_RNA from 1 species
GAUGAAGAACGCAGCAAAAUGCGAUAAGUAAUGUGAAUUGCAGAAUUCAGUGAAUCAUCGAAUCUUUGAACGCACGUUGCGCCCGCCAGUAUUCUGGCGGGCAUGUCUGUUCGAGCGUCAUUUCAACCCUCAAGCACAGCUUGGUGUUGGGACUCGCGUUAAUUCGCGUUCCCCAAAUUGAUUGGCGGUCACGUCGAGCUUCCAUAGCGUAGUAGUAAAACCCUCGUUACUGGUAAUCGUCGCGGCCACGCCGUUAAACCCCAACUUCUGAAUGUUGACCUCGGAUCAGGUAGGAAUACCCGCUGAACUUAAGCAUAUCAAUAAGCGGAGGA